rnacentral:rRNA from 1 species
CCUACGGGUGGCAGCAGUGAGGAAUAUUGGUCAAUGGACGAGAGUCUGAACCAGCCAAGUAGCGUGAAGGAUGACUGCCCUAUGGUUUGUAAACUUCUUUUAUGUGGGAAUAAAAUGUUGCACGUGUGGGAUUUUGUAUGUACUAUAUGAAUAAGGAUCGGCUAACGCCGUGCCAGCAGCCGCGGUAAUACGGAGGAUCCGAGCGUUAUCCGGAUUUAUUGGGGUUAAAGGGAGCGUAGGUGGAUUGUUAAGUCAGUUGUGAAAGUUUGCGGCUCAACCGUAAAAUUGCAGUUGAAACUGGCAGUCGUGAGUACAGUAGAGGCGGGCGGAAUUCGUGGUGUAGCGGUGAAAUGCUUAGAUAUCACGAAGAACUCCGAUGGCGAAGGCAGUCUACUGGACUGCAACUGACACUGAGGCUCGAAAGUGUGGGUAUCAAACAGGAUUAGAUACCCGUGUAGUC